rnacentral:rRNA from 1 species
UACAGAGGGUGCGAGCGUUGUUCGGAAUUAUUGGGCGUAAAGGGCGCGUAGGCGGUGCGGUAAGUCACCUGUGAAACCUCUGGGCUUAACUCAGAGCCUGCAGGCGAAACUACCGUGCUGGAGUGUGGGAGAGGUGCGUGGAAUUCCCGGUGUAGCGGUGAAAUGCGCAGAUAUCAGGAGGAACACCGGUGGCGAAGGCGGGUCUCUGGGCCGAUACUGACGCUGAGGAGCGAAAGCGUGGGGAGCGAACAGG